rnacentral:tRNA from 1 species
AAAAAGAUAAGCUAAAUAUAAGCUAAUGGGUUCAUACCCCAUCCAUAGAGAAUCUCUUCUUUUUA